CAGAGUAGAUAGGAAGCAUUAAGUGUUAAGAAAUGGGUUGUUGUUCUUAAACGAAGCAUAUCGCUAUGAUUUUCUGUCGCAACCGCUG
rnacentral:ncRNA from 10 species